UCGGAGUUUUCCAUGGGAAAGUGAACUGUUCGGUGGGAAAAAUCAAGACGGCGUCUCCGAAUUGCCAACUGGGAAGGCUCUUGUCAAUCUCACUCCUGCCUGAGGCAAGGAAGCGAACUUGACAAGCGCCUUUCAGGCAGCAGCGGAAAAGCCCCGCGCAGGUUCUCCAGAGACGCACGUUCCUGGCAGCCCUUUCCCGGGUUUCACAUUUUGACCUGAUCGGGGGAAGGAAAAACGUUCAAGCGUGAGGCUCUCCGGCGGCAGGAGGGGGGAUCUCCAGGGCGCAGCCAGCUCCAGCAAAGCGCUGCCGCGGAGACCAGCGCGGGCCGGGAGUGCGGCGGCAGAGCGAUCCACGAGACUGAGCUUCAGCAGCGAGCCGAUGCACCUCACGGAGCGGGACGCACCUAAAGGAGAUCAGUGCCUGGAUGAAAAGCAGCCAUCUGAAACUAACCUCUGAGGAAAUGGAAGUGACAGUGGGAAAGUGAGUCUCUUUGAAAAUCUACCCAAAACCUGCUCAUCAGCCUCAG